AUGUUUCAAAACAGCUUUCAAUGGUAUGUAAUCCUGUUGGAGGUUGCUCCACCAGCCUACAAUCCAAAUGUGAUGGAUUUCAAUAGUGAAACUCGGAUUUAUAUCACCUUCUCUGCUCAAAGUAGAGAAAUAUGCACUGAAUCAAAGGUUCAUUCGUAUUUCAGCAAUUUCGGGUCUGUCGUGUCUGUGACUAUUCCGCAUGGAAGGUCAUAUGGUUUUGUGAGAUUCAUGCUCCCUGGGACAGUGAGGCUGCUUUUAUCAAACUGGAAUCCUGAGGUCCCUCACUUCAUCUCCGGAGCAAGACUUCACGUGGACCGCUAUAUCCCCUAUUAUCUGUGGAACCCUGCUGAGAAUCAUGGGCCGAAUGGCCUGGAUGGAGGGUCAGGACAUGUACCAAAUGCCCUGGGUGGAGUGCCAGGACAAGAACCAGGUGCGCCAGAUGGAAACGCAGCACAACAAGAUAUGAACCCUGCUGGGAAUCAUGGGCUGAAUGGCCCGGGUGGAGGGCUAGGACAUGUGCCAAAUGCCCCGGUUGCAGUGCCAGAUGACGUGCUAGGUGUGCUGGAUGGAGACGCAGCAGAACAAGAUAUGAACCCUGCUGGGAAUGGAGCGGCAGGACAAGUGCCAGGUGUUCCGGAUGACGUGCCAGGUGUGCCGGAUGGAGGCGCAGCACAACAAGAUAUGGACGAGAUCGCUGCCGCUCUUCCAGAUGUCGACUGUUUCUACAAGGAGGCCUGA
rnacentral:rRNA from 1 species